CUUGCACUAAACAAUCUUUUCAUAACUUAGUGGCGGACGGGUGAGUAACGCGUGGGUAACCUGCCCUGUACUGGGGGACAACAGUUGGAAACGACUGCUAAUACCGCAUAAGCGCACGAGAUCGCAUGAUCCUGUGUGAAAAACUCCGGUGGUACAGGAUGGACCCGCGUCUGAUUAGCUGGUUGGUGAGGUAACGGCUCACCAAGGCAACGAUCAGUAGCCGGCCUGAGAGGGUGAACGGCCACAUUGGAACUGAGACACGGUCCAAACUCC
rnacentral:rRNA from 1 species